AGCUGCCACAUGUGGAAAUAUUGUGGUGAAUGUCCUGGCAUGAGACUUUUUCAGCAAGCAGACUUUGGGGGAAGAAAUAGAACUUCAUUUGCGAAUAUAAAUAUCUUACAAACUCGCCUCCGAGAGGUCUUAGUUCCCAAGGGAUGAUUGCUUCCACCAGGAGACACAGCAGGGGUUCUAUUAAAUGGGAAGUCGAGGCCGCCAACUGGCCACUUUGCGCUCUUCAUCACAGCAACUCAACAGGCAAAGAAGAGUUUCUGUACUGGCGGGGCUGA